CCCCACGUCAUUUGGGGAGUAGCCACCGCUGGCAGGUUUUCGGGCCUGGCGCGGCCCUCAGCGUCAACAUGCUUGGUCGAGAGACCAUGGCGCAGGCGGCAGGACUUUUGUCCACCGGGCGAGACCAAUGACAGCGAACCCAUCGUCCGGGCCGGGCGGAGGGGUAAGCUGUCGUUGGCCUGAU
rnacentral:sRNA from 1 species